rnacentral:tRNA from 3 species
GCGAGGGUUGCCGAGCGGUCAAAGGCGAUGGAUUUAGGGUCCAUUCUCGCAGGAGUUCAGGGGUUCGAAUCCCUUCCCUCGCA